rnacentral:lncRNA from 1 species
GGAGCACGGAGGUCUCCGUGCUCCUAAACCGUUUUCGAUGAUGGAGCUUUCCAAUCAAUGAUCGGCUCUGUUGGAAUUGAUCUAGCUUAUUUGAAUUAUCUAGAAAAUAAUUUUUAUAAUUUUUCGAUAUCAUUAAUUUACCUAUUAAAUAUAAAAUUAUAUAAACACCAUUCUCUAACAGCUUAAGCUUUUAAAGUACAACGGUUGUUUCACACAGUAUCAGAGCAGGAGGUCCUAAGUUCAAGUCAUGUCAGGUCACUAGCAUAAUUAAUUUCCUUCCUUUUAAUUCAAAUCCACAUUAUUAGCCUUGCAAAAAGACGUGAGGGGGAAUGUUAACUUAAGCUUUUAGAGUAAAAUGGUUGUUUCACAUUACCUAGCGAUCGAAAGGAUUCAAAAUCAAUAAUUUUUAAUGGUUGAUAUAUAUCGUUUGCAAGUUUAACAGUGUAGAAGUAUUCAAAUCAGAUGAAAUUUUGAUAAAAAAUUCUUUAUACUAUUUGCAGCAAGAUUAAUAUCUCUGAUCGAAAAUUUUAAUGCUAUAUCACCCUUUUUGUCAGAUUUUUAUUUUCAUCCAUUAAAUUUGAACUCUUCCGAUCGCUAGGUAAUGAUAUCGAAAAAUCGCAAAAUUUAUUUUCUAAAUACUUCAAAAAUGCUAGAUCAAGUCUAAUGGAGCCGAUCGUUGAUUUGGAAGCUCCAUCAUAAAAAACGGCUUAGGAGCACGGAAGCCUCCGUGCUCCUCAUAGCACACAAGACCUACUCUCUCUCUCUCUCUCUCUCUCUCUCUCUCUCUAU